AGAACAGGCAUUUAAUAGAUCUUACAGCCUGAUGGCAGAGAGACAUCUAAAACACAAUCACACAUAUAACUAUUUAAUUUUAAAUUGUGCCAUUUGUAUAGUUUAUUUCAAAAAUGGGGGGCUAUGAUAGGAAAUAGUGGGGGGCAUACUUGAGGUUGGGGUUCAAGGGGUGCCUUAUUAAUGAGUGGACAGAAUGAUCUCAGGUGGCUGGAGAUUUGAACUUGUGCCUCCUGAUGUCUUAGGUCAGCAAGCUCAUCCCUUCAACUCUGACCUCCUUGACUUUGGCCAUGGAAGCUACCCCCUCUCCUGCCUCUGCAACAAUAUCCCCGAUAUUUAGUGCCACCCUGGGAUUCAGCAUUAAAUUAGCACAAGGCUUUCAUUAUCUACAUGCAGAAACUCAGGAUCUGGCUAGGGUUGGGAUUGCUUGUCCAUUGUCAAGGUUGGGUCUGGAACCGGGACACCUGAGCCUAAAGGUCCCCACCUCCCCACUGUGAUUCAGCUCACACCCUAAACCCUCUGACCUCUGACUUCUUCCCAAGGAAAGAAUGAUGGAAGGCAAAUGUCUCCUAGAGAAAUUCAUUUUGAGGAAGCACCAUCGUUAGGGGGAAACCCAGUUCCUUCUUGGAGACCCUUGAUGUAAUCUGAGGGCCCUCUAGGAUCCCACAAUUAAUAAGUAAUAAAAAAUGCAGUAUUAAAAAUAAGCUAUUACAGGGUGUGUUAAAGCUAUAACUUUCAGAAUGAUAAUCACCACUUCUUGGUUUGCUGUGUUUAUAUUCUAUCUGGCCUGGCUUCCAGGUUGCUCUACCCCAGAGGGAACAUAUUUCUGAAUGUUCUGACUCGUCUGUAGACCUUUUUGCUAGCACAGCACAUAACUAGCAGGAUUUCAACCCAGAUCUUUUGACUCUAAGCCCAGUGCUUUUCAACUCCAACAUGUAAGGUUAGUAACAAAUUUGGUUUGGGAUACAUGGGGGCCACAGAAAUGGUGAAUGUUUCAAGUGAUUUCCCACAGGCAAAUGGACACAGGCAGAUGGUCACUAAUUUAUCCAGCAAACAUUUGCUGAAUGCCAACAAGUCAGGCCCUGUGGAUUUCCUGGUGGAUAAGACCAAUUCAAGUCCCACCCUCAUGGAACGAAUAAUUGUCCCGGAAAUUCAUGCAAUAAGCACAUGACUACCCAGAUAAUGAUUAAUGACAACAGUUCUGAGUACUGGUUGGGUUUGUACAGGGAGGGCACAAUUGAACUUAACAAACUGCCCUCCAAACCAAGUCUUAUUUUAGUCCUAGCCAUCUGGGAAAAUAGCACAUCCACCCCCGACCCUUGUGCGGGAGCCAGUAACCCAGGAGUCCUCCUCAUACCUUCUCAGUCCCCAUUGCCAACCCCACAACAUAUCCCCCACCCCGAUUGUGCUCUUAAGCGCCUUUCAGAAUUUUGCACCUCUAUCUUCACUGCCAUUAUCUCCACUAGCACUGUCAUCUCUUGCAGUACCCCUGCUGGGUCUGCCCCCAACCCAGGGCCCCUGAAGCCCAUUCUACACAGUGCAGCCAUGUUGCAGAUCACAUUCAGUGAUCUUCUGAAAGGAAAAACUUGUCAUGCCACCCUUAGCCUCACUGCUAUUCCUCCACCUUUCUACACCUCCACCCCAUCCCUCAUUGAAAACCUCAGUUUCUCUUGACUCUUAGAAUCAGGACAUGCUUCAGAGUAUAUCCUAUAAAGUUCUGAUAUUCUGCCUUUUUCCUUUCCCCAAACUCCUACUGAAGCACAUCCCUCAUUCUCUGCCCAAGCAACCCCAGCCCUCUUUCAAUCCCUAAUAUGUGCUUUGCUUUCUCCUAAAAAUCACUUCUCCAUGGUGGAAUGCUCACACAUCUCUUCUCCCUCAUUGCCCUCCCUUGCAUCCAUCCAGUAAUGAGUUCCUAGAUCUUGUCACUCCUAUGCCUACCAACCUGAUUGUCUGCUCCCACAGGCUCCAUAAGAGACAAGUUUGUCUUGGCUCAUAAUUAUAUCUGUGGCAUCUGGGCCAGGGCAUACUAUAGAGCAAGGAAGUAAGUAACAAAUGAGUGAAUGAAUGAACAAAAAACUCCCUGAGGAACUUUGAGCUGAGAAGUAAAAUGCCAGCAGAAGCCAGUGAGGUAAAGGAACUGGGAAGGAAGUAACAUCCCAGUCUAAAGGAAAAGCAUGCCAUGGAGAGGAACUGGAAUGGACCCUCCUUCACUUUCUAGGAAGAAAAGAUAUGAAAAUAGUCCCUUCCAUCCUGAAUAGGCCAGAGAAAUGCAGUCUCAGCUAAUGCACUGAUAGGGGUUGAGGCAAGGGCCUUCUUGUAAUGAACAUAGUUCAGGUAGGAGACAAAUAUACUUACGGCAUUAAAAAAAAGGGGGGGUUAUUUUCACAAGGUCAGAGUCAUAGAAAUAGAAAAACGGAUUUUCUUCAUAGACUAGACUGUGGCAUCCUCAGGAAAAAAACUGAUUUCCACAGUGGCACAUGCUUGCAGGUGAUUGAGGAAGAAACCAGUGAUGAGCAUCCCCCAGGGAUAAAGACCAAACUACAGAGGAAGCAAUCAUGGGGCUCUUCCUCUCCUGACAGGGAGAAGCCUGGGAGGAGGAAUGGCCCAUUAGCCUUUCCCAGUGCCUAAGCCAGGGACACAGUGGUCUCUUGAGAGGGGUGAGUGUUCUAAGGAAAGGCUUAGUCGGCUAGAGCUGCCAUAACAAAAAUAUCAUAGACUGAGUGGCUUACACAACAUUUAUUUUUCACAAUUCUGGAGGCUAGAAGUCCCAGGUCAAGGUACAAAGAGAUUCAGGGCCUGAUAAGGGCCCCCUUCCUGGGGUAUAGACAGCCCCUUUCUUACCGUGACUUUGUAUGGCCUUUCCUUGGCGUGUGUGUGCACAUGGAGAGGAAGCUCUGGUGUCUUUCCCUCUUCUUCUCAGGGCACUGAUCCUAUUACGGGGACCCUAGCCUUAUGACCUCCAAAAGGCCCCCACUCCUAAUACUACCACAUAAUAGAUGCUUAGGGCUUCAACAUAGGAAUUUUGCGGAGACACAAAUAUUCAGUCCAUAACAGCUUUGGGUGAGGAUAGUUCAAAGAGGAGCUCAAAAGUGGAUACAAAGAUGUUUGAGGAGGUAGGAGGGUGGACUAAUAAGGGCACUGUCUACUCAAAAUUAAUGUGAGGCUUUACACCCUCACUUCAGGCCAAGGAUCAAGUUAGCUUGCUAGGUCAGAACUCCCUGUUCUCCCACUGGGUACAUUUGGGGAUGUUCUUUUAAAUGUUCAGGAAAACAACUGCUAAUGACUAAUUUGGAAUUAACAUGUGGUCUGUCAGCGGGAAGAGGCAUGGUGUUGUUGGAGGUAAGGAGAUGGGGAGCUACUGGGGGGUUUCCAAGGACCCCUGAUUGCCUGAUACAAUCACCUUGGGGUACAUCCUGUAGUUACUAAAGGGGAAAAGUCUACAGACCAGCAGAGGACCCUGGAAGCCAGGGAGCCUAUAUGGUCUCCUUCUUUGCUAUUUCUCUUCCCCAGCAGGUUCUAAGGGAGAAUUUCUACUAUAGGAGGGAGAGAACUUGGCAUAUAGGUUACAGAUGCUAAAUUUAUGGGGAAGAAAAGAAUUUCACAUAUUCAUAGGACAGAAAGAAGGCUAGACAUGCAGAAGUGUAGUAUUGGGGCUAACCCCAAGCGCAGGGUGGAGCUAAACAGCAGAGACCAGUCUCAGCAGAUGCUGUAGCCUGUGGUCAACCUGCUGGACCUGAUUGAAGAGCAGUGAGAAGCCAUGGGCAGGCUACCACGAGAGUAGCAUUUUUCAGACCAUAUUGGCCACAGCGUGGCCAAUGGAUUAGAGGGAGCAAGAGUGGCUGUAGAGAGGCCACUGGGAAGCUACCCCAGAUGAUGGGAUGGUGGCCUGAGCAGUGGGUACAGAGGGGUGAAGAAGAAGUCUUUUCCUAGGUGUGAUGGAUAAUAAUAGAGGGGGAGAGGGGGAGGUCAGGUAGACUAGGACAGGGUUUCUGACAUGUGCAAACUGGAUUGUGGGUGGCACUGUUGCCUGGACUGGGGGCCACUGGAGGGGUCUCCCACACUCUCGAGAAAGCCACAGUGUAGCUUUUUCCUCGGAAGAAUUCUUGAGCUGCUUCCUUGGGGCGGUAGUUCCCAGUGAUCCAGUUACUUCCCUCCUCUGCACAGUUUUAUGUGGACUGGGCUUUUGGUUAGCUUUCUUUUGAAAUGACUGGUUCUCAUUUCCUCCUCCACACACUCUCUGAAGUGUGUUUGUUUCAGAAUGUUACAUAAAGGCCUUUCCCCAUCUCUCUUCUAUUUGUCUUUGUCGAUGGACCUCCCUCCCGUACAGGAUAGAUGACCACAUGGGUUUCAACAAAAUGAGUUUGCCAAGUACCUUGGGCCGAGUUCUCUGUAACUGCUCAAUAGCCAGCAAAAGACGUGGGUGGAGAUUAAAUUGUCCUCCUUCCUGAAAACGGUUAGAUCUCUGUAGCUCCUUUCCCUGUGGUCUCAGGCACAUUUUGAGGGUGGGCCUUCUGGUUAGCAUAAUACAGGACAUGGUAAACACUAGUAAAGGAAGAAUAAUUAAGGACAUUAUGUAAAAUGUGGCUAAUGGAUGCCAACUACGCACCAGCUAAACUGGUUGCAUUUUUUUGACUUGUAGCCAAAGCAUUUUAUCUUUUGGUUGUUUCCGUUUUUUGCUCACACAGGUUCUGCUUCUCUCUUAGGCCUCCCCUUCUGCUUCAGCAGCUUCAUCUGCGCCCUUCAUCUUUCUUCCUCUUGCUUUUUCUGGUUUCCUUCUCCUUGGCCCCCUUGCUGACUCCUGGCUUCUUACAUAUUUGUUCCCCUCCCCCACCCCACCACCCCCUCGCUCUCCUCUCUCUUUCUCUCCUUGUCACCAUUUGUUCUCUAUCACCCUCCUUUCUGGCUGGCUGAUGUUGGAAGCAUUUCAGGAAUUUUUAAUUGAAAAUACCAUGAGAACUGUUAUCACCUCUGUUUCACCACCGAGAAGACCCGCGGCUCGGGCAUGAUGAUGGGUGACUCCCGAACGGGUGGGCUUUAAUAUCUCACCUAGGUUAACUAGGGCAGCUGGGCUCUGCUAACCUAGGCCCCGGGGUGGAAUGUGAGAAAUGAAAUAUGGUCUGACAAGAAGGAGGGUGUGUUGAAUAACCAAAAAUUCCUAUAAAGUCUGAAGAGGGGGAGAGUAGUAGAGGAUGAGGAAUUAGUUAAAAAAACCAAAACAAUCAGAAACUCUCCUGCGCCCCCCCCCCUCAGCUUUCUGCCACAAAAAUGACGGUGAGGGAAAGCAGGUACCACCUGGAUGUCUGAGAAGGAACAGGAGCCUCCUUCCUCCCUGCCUGGAGCACUCUGCCCUGCCUCUGUUCUCCCAGCUGUCCCUGAUCCUGACUCUGCAGCCUGGGUCAGAUGAGCUCAGCCUUCUUUGAUCUUCCCUGUGAGGUCACCGGCUCCCCCCCCCACCAGCCUUCUCCCAUGUCCCAGGUCAGCCUUCACAUCUGCCAGGUCCUCAGAAACUGGGAGGAUGAGGACGAAGGUGACAGUGGGACCAUGUGGGGUGGGUUGGUGUGGGGGUGGGGAGGGGCCUGGACCUUUUCCCCUAUUAUCAGGUCACAACCAAAGGAUCAUAUUUUCAAUCAGUUACUGUGGAAUAGGGAAGGAGGGCUGCGAUGCUGGGACACCAGGGAAAAAGGUGAUGCUCUGCUUCUUUACUCCUCUUCUACAUCUUCAGUUGGAGUCAGGGCUAUGGCAGAAGAAACAGCAGGUACUGGGACUGGAAGGAACCACAGCAGGCAUCUCCUCCACUGGUUCUCAUCCUGGCCCCUGGAUUCAGUGGACAACCCCUCCCACCCACCAUCAACCAGGGCGGCUCCACUUCUACGUGUUUCCUGUAAUGAGGUCCUGUGCAAGAUUUUGAGAAAAGGACUCCACUGCUGAAAAAUAAGAGGUAAAAUUUUGAAAUCCAAGCCUCUCCUGUUUAUUUAUAAAUAAACCAAGGCCCAGAGAAGUUACGAGAUAAACCAAAAUAAUACUGUGGUAACUGCAUAGCCAACCCAGCCUUGGGUCUCCUACCCUCAGCUAAUUUCCCUGGUGACUGAACAACCUCAAAGGUGGAAGAAUAGAACCAUACUCAGGUGAGGCUGAUGG
rnacentral:lncRNA from 1 species